rnacentral:lncRNA from 1 species
GAGAGAGAGAAUUUUUUAAUAUUUAUUUUUUUAGUUUUUGGUGGACACAACAUCUUUCAUCUUUAUUUUAUUUUUAUGUGGUGCUGAGGAUUGAACCCACCACCUCGCGCAUGCCCCGUGAGCGUCCGCUUGAGCCACAUCCCUAGCCCCACUUAUUGUUCUUUCUAUUCUUAGUAGCUGCCAUUCUGACUGAAGUGAGAUGAAAUCUUAGAGUAGUUUUGAUUUGCAUUUCUCUAAUUGCUAGAGAUUUCUGAACAUUUUUUCAUGUGUUUGUUAAUUGAUUGUAUGUCAUCUUUUGAGAAGUGUUUGUUCAGUUCCUUGGCCCAUUUAUUGAUUGGGCUAUUUGAGUUUUUUGUGUUAAGUUUUUUGAGUUCUUUAUAUACCCUAGAGAUUAGUGCUCUGAUGUGCCUGUGGUAAAAAUUUCCUUCUAUCUUCUAGGCUCUCUAUUCACCUCUCUGUUUCUUUUGCUGAGAAGAAGUUUUGUAGUUUGAAUCCAUCCAAUUUAUUGAUUCUUGGUUUUAUUUCUUGUGCUUUAGGAGUCUUACUAAGGAAAUUGGAGCUUAAUCCAACAUGGUGAAGAUUUGGGAGUACUUUUUCUUCUAUUAGGCACAGGGUGUCUGGUUUAAUUCCUAGGUCCUUGAUCCACUUUGAGUUGAGUUUUGUGCAUGGUGAGAGAUAGGGACUUAACUUCAUUUUGCUGCAUAUGGAUUUCCAGUUUUCCCAGCACCAUUUGUUGAAGAGGCUAUUUUUUCUCCAAUAUGUUUUUGGCAUCUUUUUCUAAUAUGUGAUAUGUAUGUAUGUGAGUUUGCCUCUAUGUUUUCUAUUCUAUAACAUUGGUCUACACGUUUUUUUGGUGCCAAUACCAUGCUGUUUUUGUUACUAUUGCUCUAUAGCAUAGUUUAAGGUCUGGUAUAGUGAUAGCACCUGCUUUACUCUUCUUGCUAUGGAUUGCUUUGGCUAUUCUGGGUCUCUCAUUUUUCCAGAUAAAUUUCAUGAUUGCUUUUUCUAUUUUUAUGAGGAAUGUCAUUAGGAUUUUGAUUGAAAUUGCAUUAAAUCUGUAUAGUGUUUUUGGUAGUAUCGUCAUUUUGACAAUAUUAAUUCUGUCUAUCUAAGAACAAGGGAAAUCUUUCCAUCUUAUAAAGUCAUCUUUUCAUCUUUAAUUUCUUUCUUUAGCAUUCUGUAGUUGUCAUUGUGGAGGGCUUUCACCUCUUUCCGUAAGUUGAUUUCCAAGCAUUUGAUUUCUUUCUUUUUUUGAGGCUAUUGUAAAUGGGGUAGUUUCUCUAGUUUCUCUUUCAGAGUAUUUGUCACUGAUGUACUGAAAUACCUUUGAUUUAUGAAUGUUAAUUUUAUAUCCUGCUACUUUGCUGAAUUCAUGUAUUAGUUCUAGAAGUUUUCUGAUGAAAUUGUUUGGAUGCUGUAUGUAUAGAACAUGUUGUUGGCAAAUAGUGACAGUUUGAGUUCUUCUUUUCCUAUCCAUAUCCAUUUAAUUUCUUUCAUCUGUCUAAUUUCUCUAGCUAGAGUUUCAGGAACCAUGUUAAAUAGAAGUGGUGAAAGAGGGCAUCCCUGUCUUGUUCCGGUUUUUAGAGGGAAUGCCUUCAGUGUUUCUCCAUUUUGAAUGAUGUUGGCCUGGAGCUUAGUAUAGAUAGCUUUUAAAAUGUUAAGAUAUGUUCCUGUAAUCCCUAGUUUUUCUAGUGGUUUUGAACAUAAAGGGGUGCUGUAUUUUGUAAAAUGUGUUUUCCACAUCUAUUGACAUGAUCAUAUGAUUCUUAUCUCUAAGACUAUUGAUGUGAUGAAUUAUAUUUAUUGAUUUUAUAUAUUGAACCAAACUUGCAUCCCUGGGAUGAACCCCACUUGAUUGUGGUGUAUGAUCUUUUUGAUAGGUUUUUGUAUUCAAUUUGCCAGAAUUUUAUUGAGCACUUUUAUGUCUAUGUCUAUUAGAGAUAUUUGUCUGAAGUUUUCUUUCUUUGAUGUGUCUUUGUCUGGUUUUGGAAUCAGGGCGAUGUUGGCCCCAUAGAAUGAUUUUGGAAGUGUUUCUUCUUUUUCUAUUUCAUGAAAUAAUUUGAGGAGUAUUGGUAUUAGUUCUUCUUUGAAGGUCUGGUAGAACUCAGCUCUAUAUCCAUCUAGUCUUGGGCUUUACUUGGUUGGUAGGCUUCUGAUGGCAUCUUUUAUUUCAUUGCUUGAAAUUUAUCUUUUUAACUUGUGUAUGUCAUCCUGAUUCAGUUUGGGCAUAUCAUAUGACUCUAGAAAUUUGUUUAUGCUUUUGAUAUUUUCUAUUUUUUUGGAGUACAAAUUUUUAAAAUAAUUUCUAAUUAUCUUCUGCAUUUCUGUAGUGUCUGUCAUAAUAUUUCCUUUUUCAUCAGAUAUGUUAGUAAUUUGAGUUUUCUCUCCCCCUUCUCUUCAUUAACAUGGCUAAGGGUUUAUCAAUUUUUUCAAAGAACCAACUUUUUGUUUUGUAAAUUUUUUCACUUGUUUCAAUUUCAUUGAUUUCAACUCUGAUUUUGAUUAUUUCCUGUCUUCUACUGCUUUUGGUGUUGAUUUGUUCUUCUCUUUGAGAUGUAAUGUUAGGUCAUUUAUUUGUUGACUUUUUCUUCUUUUAAGGAAUGAACUCCAUGCAAUGAACUUUCCUCUUUGUACUAUCUUCAUAGUGUCCUAGAGAUUUUGAUAUGUUGUAUCUAUGUUCUAAUUUACCUCUAAGAAAUUUUUAAUCUCCUCUUUUAUGUCCUCUGUUACUCAUUGUUCAUUUAGUAGCAUAUUAUUUAGUCUCCAGGUGUUGGAGUGGAUUUUAUUUCUUAUUUUAUCAUUGAUUUCUAAUUUCAUUCCAUCAUGAUCUGAUAGAAUUCAGAAUAGUAUCUCUACCGUUUUGCAUUUUCUAGGAGUUUCUUUGUGACAUAAUACAUAGUGUAUUUUAGAGAAGGAUCCAUAUGCUGCUGAGAAGAAAGUUAUUCACUCGUUGAUGGGUGAAAUAUUCUAUAUGUGUCUGUUAAGUCUAAGUUAUUGAUUGUAUUAUUGGGUUCUAUGGCUUCUUUGCUCAGCUUUUGUUUGGAAGAUUACUCCAGUGGUGAAAGAGGUGUGUUAAAGUCACCCAUAAUUAUUGGGUUAUGGCCUAUUUGACUCUUAAAGUUGAGAAGAGUUUUAUGAACCUAGAUGCUCCGUUGUUUGGGGCAUAUAUAUAUAUAUAUAUAUAUAUAUAUAUAUAUAUAUAUAUUUGUUAUGUCUUUUUGGUGUACGUUUCCUCUGAGCAAUAUAAAAUGUCCUUUUUUAUCCCUUUUGAUUAACUUUGGCUUAAAGUCUACUUUAUUUGAUAUGAGGAUGGAAACUUCUGCUUGUUUCCUCAGUCUAUGUGAGUGGUAUAUUUUAUCCCAACCUUUCACCUUCAGUCUGUGGAUGUCUUUUCCUAUGAGAUGAGUCUGUUGAAGGCAGCAUAUUGUUUUUUGUUUGUUUGUUUGUUUGUUUUGUUUUGUUUUGUUUUUUAGUCAAUCUGCCAGUCUAUAUCUUUUGAUUGAUGAGUUAAGCUAUUAACAUUUAGGGUUAUUAUUGAUAUGUGAUUUGUAUUCCCAGUCAUUUUUGUUUAGUUUUGGUAUUUAGCUUGACUUGGUUUCUCCUUUGAUUGGUUUUUCCUUUAGUGUAAUAUCUCCCUUUGCUGAUUUUCAUUUCCUCCUCAUGGAUUAUUUUGCCAAGGAUGUUCUGUAGUGUAAGCUUUCUAUUUGUAAAUUCUUUUAACUUUAGUUUAUCAUGGAAGGUUUUUAUUUCAUUAUCAAAUCUGAAGCUUAAUUUUGGUGGAUAUAAGAUUCUUGGUUGGCAUCCAUUUUCUUUCGGAGCUUGGUAUAUGUUGUUUCAGGAUCUUCUAUAGCUGUCACAGUCUGGUUUGAAAAAUCUGCAAAGAUCCUAAUUGGUUCUCCCCCUAUAUGUAAUCUGAUUUCUUUCUCUUGUGGCUUUUACAAUUCUCUCCUUAUUCUGCAUACUAGGCAUUUUCAUUAUAAUGUAACUUGGUGUGGAUCUGUCGUAAUUUUGUACACUUUGCAUCCUAUAAUCCUCUUCAAUUUGAUUUUCCAAUUCAUUCUUCAUGUUUGGGAAAGUUUCUGAUAUUAUUUCAUUGAAUAGAUUGUUCAUUUCUUUGGUUUAGAACUCAAUGCCUUCCUCUAUCAUAGUAAUUCUUAAAUUUGGUCUUUUUAUGUUAUCCCAUAAUUCUUGGAUGUGCUGCUCAUGGUUUCUUACCAUUUUCACUGUGUGGACAACUUUCUUUUCAAGAUUAAAUGUAUUGUCUUCAUCGUCUGAAGUUCUGUCUUCCAAUCUGUUGGUGCUAUUUUCUAUUGAGUUUUUAAUUUGGUUUAUUGUUUCUUUCAUUUCAAGGAUUUCUGUUUUUUUCCCCAGAAUCUCUAUCUCCUUAUUGAAAUAAUCUUUUGCUUCUUGUAUUUGCUUAUGUAACUCUUUAUUGAAAUGAUCUUUAGCCGCCUGUAUUUGCUGUCUUAUAUUAUUCUUUAAUUCAUAGAACAUUUAAUUAUGUACAUCCCGAACUUUUCCUCUAUCAUUUCUUCUGUUGUGCUGACCAUGGAUUCUAAAAUUGUGUUAUCUUGGUUUGUUUGGGGGCACUUCCUUCCCUUGUUUUUUCAUGUUGUUCAUGUGCCUUCCCUUAUAUCACUGUGGAUCUGAGGCAUUACAGUUUUUACCCUAUAGCUUAGUGUCCCUGCAGGGUUCCAAUACCUCUCCUUUAAGGGGGAGAACAAUAUUAAUAUAUUCCAAUUCAAACAAUAUACAGCCUUAAACCAAGUAACUGCUAUUAGGACAUUUAUGGUUUUGUACAAUCUACAGAAAUGGUGAGUUCAAUUAUUAUCUAUAGUAUAAACAGUAGGUUUUCAUAAGGGUCUACGGUUUCUGAUGGUGGAAAAAAGAGAACUGGGGUGAGGUGUAGGAUUAGAUGUUAAGCUGGUAGGAAAUGAGAAUAUAGAGUUAUUAGAUCUUAGGAAGCAUGACAGAAGAAUCUAAAGAAGUUGGUUAGUAGCAGGGAAAGAGAGAGAAAGUGAUUUUGGGCGACAAGUAAGUGGGAAGGUAAUAGAGAGAAACAAACAAAAAUAAAUAUUAAGAAAAAUAAAAAAUGUAAAAGCAGAAGAUAAAAGAAUAUGCAACACAACUUUAAUAUACUAUUCAGACAUCCCAGUCCUCAGUAACCUAAUUUGUGAAAAAUUACUUGAUUUCACAAAUUUUGCAAAUGUUGGGGAUGGGAGAGGAGAGAGAGAGAAGAGAAGAGAAGAGAAGAGAAGAGAAGAGAAGAGAAGAGAAGAGAAGAGAGAGAACUUCGAAGGAAGGAAGAUAACAGGAUUGUUUUUGUUGGAGAUCAGUAUCUUUCCAGCGUCCCUUCUCCUCCAAUAGGUGGGGUUGUCUGUAGUUUGCUGGUAUAUCCACCCUCAGGAUGGUGAAAGUUAUUAGGGUGGGAGGGCUAAUCUUGGGUGUCAAGCUCCUGGAGGUGGGAUUUAGCACUUGCUGGUCUCCAAUGGGAGACUGCACCUAAGGAUCUCCUUAUUUCCUUAUAUCACCUGUAGACCUCACAAUUCCUGUUCUCUAAUUUAGUCUGUAAAUUGUAUCUCACUCACCCUCUCCCUUUCUACUUCCCAAUCAGGAAACUCUCUCUCUGGAGGUCUUGUGGGCUGCACUCUGGGGGCUGUGCACCUGUCAUCUGUCUUAUAUUGGGCAGUUCAGGACCCGGUUUUGUUAGCAAUGGACUGGCCAAGUAGAUGCAAGCACUGUGCCAGGUUAGUGUCUGCUGGGGAGAGAAGGGAGUUGGAGACUAUAGGUACCUUGAUAUUGCUUCAAGGCCCCAGUUGGUGCCCCAAGAUGGGAGUUGCCCCAGCUAAAGAUGGUGACGAAAGUGUCCCAAGAUGGAGGCGGCUGCUUUCCGGGAUGGGGUAUUGGGUUAGGUGGGGCUGGACAGUGGUGUUUGGCAGCUUGUUCAGACAUGUAACUUGUGGCAUGCAAUGUUGUGGCUGGCGACCACAACCUCUGAGGUGACCCCAGGUUCAGGCUACCACAUUCAGGGAGCCAUGGCAGUGGUUGCAUUUUCCCAAGAUGGAAGCAACUCAGGGAGCCACACAUUGGUACAUGGGUGUCCACUUGGGAGUGGAGCCUGGAAGUCCUGCUUGCGUGCAGUGGCCAGAUAUCCUUCAUGGGAGUUGCAGCCAGCAUUCCUGCAGCAGGUGGGUGGCCAGGAGUCUUGUGCCUGUGCUGAUGCUGGUGGUCCUGCUCUGACUGGUCAGCUGGGAUUCCUGCAUGGGCAAGUGGCCGGGAGUCCUGUGAUGAUGCUGAGGCCUAGAGACUUAUGCAGCCAUGGAAGCUGUGAUUCCUGCACAGGAGCCGGGGUCCUCUAAUAACUCACAGAGAAACACGAUUCCCAUUACUUAAAUCCCAGAUCACGGAGCAACACAGAAUGCAGCUUCCCUCCAGUCUGCCAUCUUGGAUCUUUCCUUGUUUAUUUGUUUUGUUUUGUUUUAAAUCAGUGCCUGCUCCUCAGCUCUUGGUGGAUCUCCGUCUCCUAUCACUGUCUUCUAGUUCUUUGGCAGGUGACAGAAAGCACGUGAGAAUGGGAAUAAAGUUACAAGAGCAAGACUGACUUCUGAGGAAAGUUCCUUUUAUUGUAAUAGGUGCAGAUAGGUUGGCUUGUAUAUGCAGUUGAGCUGGCAAAGACUUAAGUGCAUAUACACAGUCAGUGGGUCUCAGAUCCCUGGGAGUUUGCAAUUAUCACCAGUGGUUAUCAAUCAGUAUGAUACAAACAUUACAGUUAUUUAUAGAUCGAAUAAGUAAUAUGCCAGAUGAUUUGUGCUAUUGUUUUUCCAAUAUGACAGAAUAUAAAUUCACAAAGAUCGUAUGAACAUACUACUCUUCUGUUUGUCUUUUGUUUCUCAGGAUGCCAUCAUUAAAGUACUAGUAUUAUCGUGUGGACAUUGAGAGAAAAAGAUGAAGCUUUUUUUUUUCCCCUUCAAAUUCUGUAAAAAUAGAAUUUAAAUAAUUGUGAUGUCUUUGAAGGGGUAAAAGUUUUGCUGAAUAAAUGAACCGUCACUUUCCCAGAUAUAAUAAAUAAUCAAUCUGAAGAAUAUAAACUUGUGAUUAUAUGCAUUUGAUUCAUUCAUGAAAAUGUGCACUAGAAAUUAGUUCAUUUUGUUGCUUUGAAGGGUACUUGUUCAUUAUCAAAAAGGUUUGUUUUUUAAAAUUAAAAUAUAAAUCUGCAAUUUUUGGAAAAUGGUACAUAUUUAAUACAAAUGUUGCAUGUAUAUAUGUGUAUAUAUGCAUAUAUAUGUAAAAGAAAAAAUAAACCUCACAAUUCUAUCAUUGAAGAUAUUUGCUAUUAAUAUCUAUGUGUAUAUUGUAAAA